AUGGGUCUGCUGGAGGUGCCGCCGGAGGAAACCAAUCGUUGCGUGCGCGGAUGCUGCCGUAGCGACGCCAUCCCGCUCCACCUCCCCGCCGCGUCCUUCUCCCUUCUCUCCCCCAUCGCCCGAGGGUCGGAGAGCACGGUGUACGAGGCGCGAUUGGGGGGCGAGCGUGCGGCGGCGAAGAAGCCCGUGUUGUCCACUUCCGACGACCUCGAUAAGUUCCAUUACCAGCUCCAGCUUCUAUGUGAGCUGGAUCAUCCAGGGUUGGUGAAACUCAUUGCAGCACAUGCACGUCCUCCAAAUUACUUGAUGUUUUUCGAAUAUUUUGAGCCUCCAAACUUGGCAGACAAGAUACAUGUUGAGGAGUGGAGCCCUUCUAUCCAGCAAGUGGUCACGAUUGCCAGCUAUCUAGCAAAGACUCUCCAAUACCUACAAAUUCUUGGGAUAGUGCACCGAGAUAUAAAACCAGCAAAUAUUUUGCUAGAUAAAGACCUCCUUCCACAUCUAGCAGAUUUUGGCUUGGCUAUGUACCAGAAGGAUAUUAAAAGUGUUUCAGCUGAGAACUGGAAAUCAUCUGGCAAGCCUACCGGUGGUUUCUAUAAAAAGAAUAUGGUCGGGACACUAAUUUACAUGGCACCAGAAAUUUUGAGAAAGGAUUUACAUACAGAAAAAUCAGAUGUUUACAGCUUUGCAAUAUUAAUAAACGAGCUUCUUACUGGUGUUGUGCCUUACACUGAUCUGCGAGCAGAAGCACAGGCACACACCAUUCUUGAAAUGACUUACACUGAACAGCAACUUACAUCAGCUGUUGUUUCUCAAGGAUUGCGCCCUGCUCUGGCCCUUCCAGAGUCUGGCUCUCCACCAAGUCUCUUGUCACUUAUUCAGCGCAGCUGGGAUUCUGAUCCUGAACGAAGACCAUCAUUUGGAGAUAUAAUUGAAGAGUUAAAUGUAAUACAGAAGCAUUUAGUUACAUAUUCUUGCCCUCUAUCAUCUGGUUCAGUGAACUUGAGUCGAAACAGCAAGGCAGAAGUACACCAUUAUCAAGAAGCAUUAAACUGGUUUAACCAAGGGGAACUGUUAACAAAGAAAGCAAACAAAUUAGACUAUGCAGUGAAUCCUUGGUCUAGUUCAUUUGAUCAGUCCUCUGUCUCUGUGUAUCAUCCAACUUUGAGCUGGGGAUCUUUUGCAACAUGUGGACGAAGAGAAACAAUGGAAGAUACUCAUUUUAUGCUUACCUGCAUGUCUGAAGAAAAAGAUGUGCAUUCCUUUGGCAUUUUUGAUGGACACAGAGCUGCUGAGUUUUCUGUCCGAGCAGUUCCUGGAUUUCUCAAGCAAUUUGGACACACUGCCAGCCCGAUUGAUGCCCUUGCAGAAGCAUUUGUAAGUAGUGACACAGCAUUUAGAGAAGAGUUAAUUGCUCACCAGAAGUCAAAAAGGAUAAUCCAGAAAGACUGGCAUCCUGGUUGCACGGCAGUGACAGCAUUGAUAGUGAGAAACAAACUUUUUGUAGCAAAUGCUGGUGAUUGCCGAGCAAUUCUCAGCCGUGCUGGCAAACCAUUUCCUCUGACUAGGGAUCAUGUUGCUAGUUGCCCCAAGGAAAGAGAGCGUGUUAUAAAGGAAGGGGCUGAAGUCAGAUGGCAAAUAGAUACAUGGCGAGUCGGUGCAGCUGCUCUUCAGGUUACAAGGUCAAUUGGUGAUGAUGAUCUCAAGCCAGCAGUCACAGCAUUACCUGAGAUAACUGAAACUGAUUUAACAGCUGAUGACGAGUUCCUGGUCAUGGCUAGUGACGGACUCUGGGAUGUGGUAGGCAACGAGGAUGUCCUUUCCAUCAUCAAGGACACUGUGAAAGAGCCUGGAAUGUGCUCCAAGAGGCUGGCUACCGAGGCCUCAGCGCGGGGCAGCAAAGACAACAUCACUGUUAUCGUUGUCUUCCUUCGCCCUGUCUCCACAGCAGAACGAAUAUACUAG
rnacentral:rRNA from 1 species